UACGUAGGGGGCGAGCGUUGUCCGGAAUCAUUGGGCGUAAAGAGCUCGUAGGCGGCUUGGCAAGUCGGAUGUGAAAACUCCAGGCUCAACCUGGAGCCGCCAUUCGAUACUGCUAUGGCUAGAGUCCGGUAGGGGAGUGUGGAAUUCCCGGUGUAGCGGUGAAAUGCGCAGAUAUCGGGAGGAACACCGAUGGCGAAGGCAGCACUCUGGGCCGGCACUGACGCUGAGGCACGAAAGCGUGGGGAGCAAACAGG
rnacentral:rRNA from 1 species